UGGGGAAUCUUGGACAAUGGGCGCAAGCCUGAUCCAGCCAUGCCGCGUGAGUGAAGAAGGCCUUCGGGUUGUAAAGCUCUUUUACCAGGGACGAUAAUGACGGUACCUGGAGAAUAAGCCCCGGCAAACUUCGUGCCAGCAGCCGCGGUAAUACGAAGGGGGCUAGCGUUGUUCGGAAUUACUGGGCGUAAAGCGCACGUAGGCGGAUUGUUAAGUCAGAGGUGAAAUCCCGGAGCUCAACUUCGGAACUGCCUUUGAUACUGGCAAUCUAGAGUCCGGAAGAGGUUAGUGGAAUUCCCAGUGUAGAGGUGAAAUUCGUAGAUAUUGGGAAGAACACCAGUGGCGAAGGCGGCUAACUGGUCCGGUACUGACGCUGAGGCGCGAAAGCUAGGGGAGCAAACGGGAUUAGAUACCCCCGUAGUCCCUGAGCGGGCUGGCAAGGCGCAU
rnacentral:rRNA from 1 species